CUGUGGGCUUGGGCCCCCUGCGCCGGGGCGGAGCGGGCAGCGAGGCUGGCGGGAGAUGCUGGGCUGCUCUGGAGAGCGCGCAACCGGCGUGCUCACCCUGUUUAGGCUCCGCUCUUCGCUGUGCCCAGAUCCACACAGUUCAGUUCAUCGAAAACCCAGAGGUAGCCCACCGUGUGACUCAGCGGCACGGAAAACAUCAGAGUCAUUGACUUCGGCGUGGCAAAGUGGGAUCUCACACAUGGUACUUUAUCAAAUAAAGGGCACCGGCAUGUUAAA